rnacentral:rRNA from 1 species
CUACGGGGGGCAGCAGUGGGGAAUAUUGCACAAUGGGCGCAAGCCUGAUGCAGCCAUGCCGCGUGUAUGAAGAAGGCCUUCGGGUUGUAAAGUACGUUCAGCGGGGAGGAAGGGAGUAAAGUUAAUACCUUUGCUCAUUGACGUUACCCGCAGAAGAAGCACCGGCUAACUCCGUGCCAGCAGCCGCGGUAAUACGGAGGGUGCAAGCGUUAAUCGGAAUUACUGGGCGUAAAGCGCACGCAGGCGGUUUGUUAAGUCAGAUGUGAAAUCCCCGGGCUCAACCUGGGAACUGCAUCUGAUACUGGCAAGCUUGAGUCUCGUAGAGGGGGGUAGAAUUCCAGGUGUAGCGGUGACAUGCGUAGAGAUCUGGAGGAAUACCGGUGGCGAAGGCGGCCCCCUGGACGAAGACUGACGCUCAGGUGCGAAAGCGUGGGGAGCAAACAGGAUUAGAUACCCCUGUAGUC